rnacentral:rRNA from 1 species
GACGAACGCUGGCGGCGUGCUUAACACAUGCAAGUCGAACGGAAAGGCCCUGCUUUUGUGGGGUGCUCGAGUGGCGAACGGGUGAGUAACACGUGAGUAACCUGCCCUUGACUUUGGGAUAACUUCAGGAAACUGGGGCUAAUACCGGAUAGGAGCUCCUGCUGCAUGGUGGGGGGUGGAAAGUUUCGGCGGUUGGGGAUGGACUCGCGGCUUAUCAGCUUGUUGGUUGGGUAGUGGCUUACCAAGGCUUUGACGGGUAGCCGGCCUGAGAGGGUGACCGGCCACAUUGGGACUGAGAUACGGCCCAGACUCCUACGGGAGGCAGCAGUGGGGAAUAUUGCACAAUGGGCGGAAGCCUGAUGAAGCAACGCCGCGUGCGGGAUGACGGCCUUCGGGUUGUAAACCGCUUUCGCCUGUGACGAAGCGUGAGUGACGGUAAUGGGUAAAGAAGCACCGGCUAACUACGUG